UACGGGAGGCAGCAGUGGGGAAUAUUGCACAAUGGGCGCAAGCCUGAUGCAGCCAUGCCGCGUGUAUGGAAAAGGCCUUCGGGUUGUAAAGUACUUUCAGUCGUGAGGAAGGUGUUAAGGUUAAUAACCUUAGCAAUUGACGUUAGCGACAGAAGAAGCACCGGCUAACUCCGUGCCAGCAGCCGCGGUAAUACGGAGGGUGCGAGCGUUAAUCGGAAUUACUGGGCGUAAAGGGCACGCAGGCGGUUAAUUAAGUUGGAUGUGAAAUCCCCGGGCUUAACCUGGGAAUGGCAUUCAAGACUGGUUAGCUAGAGUCUUGUAGAGGGGGGUAGAAUUCCAUGUGUAGCGGUGAAAUGCGUAGAGAUGUGGAGGAAUACCGGUGGCGAAGGCGGCCCCUGGACAAAGACUGACGCUCAUGUGCGAAAGCGUGGGGAGCAAACAGGGAUUAGAUACC
rnacentral:rRNA from 1 species